CCUACGGGAGGCUGCAGUGGGGAAUAUUGCACAAUGGGCGCAAGCCUGAUGCAGCCAUGCCGCGUGUGUGAAGAAGGCCUUCGGGUUGUAAAGCACUUUCAGCGGGGAGGAAGGCGUUAAGGUUAAUAACCUUGGCGAUUGACGUUACCCGCAGAAGAAGCACCGGCUAACUCCGUGCCAGCAGCCGCGGUAAUACGGAGGGUGCAAGCGUUAAUCGGAAUUACUGGGCGUAAAGCGCACGCAGGCGGUCUGUCAUGUCGGAUGUGAAAUCCCCGGGCUCAACCUGGGAACUGCAUUCGAAACUGGCAGGCUAGAGUCUUGUAGAGGGGGGUAGAAUCCCAGGUGUAGCGGUGAAAUGCGUAGAGAUCUGGAGGAAUACCGGUGGCGAAGGCGGCCCCCUGGACAAAGACUGACGCUCAGGUGCGAAAGCGUGGGGAGCAAACAGGAUUAGAUACCCGGGUAGUC
rnacentral:rRNA from 1 species